rnacentral:rRNA from 1 species
UUUAUUGAGAGUUUGAUCCUGGCUCAGGGUGAACGCUGGCGGCGUGUCUAAGGCAUGCAAGUCGAACGAUCAUUGCUAUUUAUAGUAAUGGUAGUGGCAAACGGGUGAGUAACACAUUGGUAAUCUACCUCAAAGACGGGCAUAACCUGGGGAAACCUGGGCUAAUACCCGAUGUGCUGGUUUAACAUAAGUUUUAUCAGUAAAGCUCCGGCGCUUUGAGAGGAGCCUAUGUCUCAUCAGCUAGUUGGUAGGGUAAAAGCCUACCAAGGCAACGACGAGUAGCGGGUGUGAGAGCACGACCCGCCUCACUGGGACUGAGACACUGCCCAGACUCCUACGGGAGGCUGCAGUCAAGAAUAUUCCUCAAUGCACGAAAGUGUGAAGGAGCGACGCCGCGUGAUCGAUGAAGC